UAGCUCAGCUGGGAGAGCGCCGCGUUCGCAACGCGGAGGUCGACGGUUCGAUCCCGUU
rnacentral:tRNA from 1 species